UGCCCAGCAACUCCUAUCCCUACCUCCUCGCGGUACUGGCUGGGGUACGAGUAAAGG
rnacentral:ribozyme from 1 species